AGUGAACGCUGGCGGUAUGCCUAACACAUGCAAGUCGAACGGCAACACAGUAAGAGCUCGCUCUUAAGGUUGGCGAGUGGCGGACGGGUGAGGAAUACAUAGGAAUCUACUUUUUCGGGGGGGAUAACGGAGGGAAACUUACGCUACUACCGCAUACGACCAACGGGUGGAAGCAGGGGAUCUUCGGACCUUGCGCGAUUGAAUGAGCCGAUGUCGGAUUAGCUAGUUGGCUGGGUAAAGGCCUACCAAGGCGACGAUCCGUAGCUGGUCUGAGAGGAUGAUCAGCCACACUGGAACUGAGACACGGUCCAGACUCCUACGGGAGGCAGCAGUGGGGAAUAUUGGACAAUGGGCGCAAGCCUGAUGCAGCAAUACCGCGUGAGUGAAGAAGGCCUUCGGAUUGUAAAGCCCUUUUGUUGGGAAAGAAAAGAUGUAUGAGAAUCCCCCGAUGUUCUGACGGUACCUAAAGAAAAAGCAACGGCUAACUACGUG
rnacentral:rRNA from 1 species